AACGAACGCUGGCGGCAUGCCUAACACAUGCAAGUCGAACGAGACCUUCGGGUCUAGUGGCGCACGGGUGCGUAACGCGUGGGAAUCUGCCCUUGGGUUCGGAAUAACAGCGAGAAAUUGCUGCUAAUACCGGAUGAUGACGUAAGUCCAAAGAUUUAUCGCCCAAGGAUGAGCCCGCGUAGGAUUAGCUAGUUGGUGAGGUAAAAGGCUCACCAAGGCACGAUCCUUAGCUGGUCUGAGAGGAUGAUCAGCCACACUGGGACUGAGACACGGCCCAGACUCCUACGGGAGGCAGCAGUGGGGAAUAUUGGACAAUGGGCGAAAGCCUGAUCCAGCAAUG
rnacentral:rRNA from 1 species